rnacentral:rRNA from 1 species
UACAGAGGGGGCAAGCGUUAUUCGGAAUUAUUGGGCGUAAAGGGCGCGUAGGCGGCUUUGCAAGUGACGGGUGAAAUCCCUCGGCUUAACCGAGGAACUGCCUGUCAAACUGUCUGGCUUGAGUCCGGAAGGGGCGAGUGGAAUUCCUGGUGUAGCGGUGAAAUGCGCAGAUAUCAGGAGGAACACCGGUGGCGAAGGCGGGUCUCUGGGCCGUAACUGACGCUGAGGAGCGAAAGCAUGGGGAGCGAACAGG